rnacentral:rRNA from 1 species
AGGACGAACGCUGGCGGCGUGCUUAACACAUGCAAGUCGAGCGGAAAGGCCCUUCGGGGUACUCGAGCGGCGAACGGGUGAGUAACACGUGAGCAACCUGCCCUUAGCUCUGGGAUAGCUCCGGGAAACCGGAGUUAAUACCGGAUAUUACACCGGCUGGCAUCGGCUGGUGUGGAAAGAUUUAUCGGCUAAGGAUGGACUCGCGGCCUAUCAGCUUGUUGGUGGGGUAGAAGCCUACCAAGGCGACGACGGGUA